CAACUUCCCUCCUCCCUGCCUCCUAGGGGCACUCAGGAAGAAGUUAGGGCUUGCUUAGAUGAGCUGGUCACUCACAUUAGCAGCCAGUGCUGCCACCUGUGAGCUGCUGAGGCUGUGAACAUUACUAAGUUACUUUACAGAAAGAGUUACUGUGCUGAAAGUACAACUGUGAUGCAAAAAGUUCACCAUCCUGGUUUGUGAGAGCCUGUGGGCAGGAGGCAAGCUAGUCUUCCACAAGAGAGACAAUUAAGAGACAAUGGUACAGAAAUGCAUGUUGUAGCACACGCCAGUGCUCCCGUGUAUUGACCUUGCAGCUUCAAGCAACUUAGAGAAUGGCUUGGUUUUCAAAAUUACAAUUCCUCCCAGGUUCUGGAGGCAGGCACAGAGAAGAUUCUUCAGAUUUGAGACUACUUCAGUGAGAUAAAAUACCUAGUUUGGGAAAUGCUGCCCUUUCCUUGGAGACCUGCUGGGAUAUUGGAAUUUCAUGUGCAUCAAAAAUGCAGGGCACACAGAAACAUCUGAAAAGCUGCCAGAGGGAAGCAGUUUAUAUUUCUGUGCAAAGCAUCGCAAUAUCAGGAAGGCAGAGAGUGAAUAUGAGAGGAAGGAAACGGGCAGUUGGUCCCCUGACCGGGGCACUGCAGGUCAGAUAGGUGAUAGGCUGAGCUGGCUGUGGCGGCGUAGCCUUCUUGUGGGUUCUCAGUCACCUAUAACCUUUUAAUCAAAAGGUAAAGAAGAGGAAGAAUGUGGAUUUCACAAUAUUUGAAGCAUCCUGCUAUUGAAAGUAGAGAAGAGGGCACUUUCAGAGGCUUACUACAGGGUAGCAACUGUGGAAAUUUGCUUGGUCAUAAAAAGUAGGAUGAGAUACAGUGAAAAGUAUUUAAAGAGAUCCAAAACUCAAUGAACCCAAUAAUCUUCUGUUAAAAAUAAGCUGAGAGUAAACUUUUUGGGGCGAGAAUAUCAUAAACACUUAAGCACUGAUUGUGUGCAGUCUGAAUGUCCGCAUGUGUGUGUCUAAGCAGUAACAAAAUCCAUCUCUGCUUGUGCAGAUUAUUUUGAGAUCAGUUAAGUGGAAAUAACUAAUGUUCAUGUAUGUAGAAGUUCCCCAUGUGAGUUUCCUUCUCAAAAUAUUGAUUUCCUUUUAUUCCACUGGAAAGGGAGACCUGUGAGGAAUAGAAAGAGGAGGCACUAUCUCUUUAUGAAUACUAAUAAGUAAAUCAAGGGAGACACUGGCACUUCGAGUUUCAUCUUUCCAUUUCCUAGAGGCGCAAACUCUGCAACUUGUCACCUUGGUGUAUUCAGUGCCUUUUGAAGCACUAUACUCCUCCAGAGAGAAUGUCAGCCCCAGCCCUGGGCAGUUUUGACAAACAGAGUAUAUAUUGAUACAUGAUAAAGUAUGCUAGAAAUCACCCCAGCGCUAAAGGCUACUAUAGUUUUAAUAUCAUCAUUUGAAUUAACAAGCAUUCUGUGGAGAAAUAAUGAGCUUUCAUUAUUCAGAACAUCAUCCUUACCCGGGGAACUCAGAAACCAUUAGCUCUUGAGAACUUAAUGAAAAGAUGAUAAAGAAUGUUUUAGAUAAAAGUUUGAACGGGCACACUUGAUAACUGAGGUAAAAUAUUAAUGUUUGUUUGGAUGAUGGAUUAGGGUUGCUCAGCGAGGCUUAGGGAAGUGACAGAAGCCAAGUGUGUGGUCAGGUUGCAGGUGGAGGGUCUGGACCGCCCCAGGGACAGUGUGAGAUGCCAGCUUGGGGAGCUGUGGUCCUGGGAAGACUACUAUGCUUACAGCCUGGCUGCCUCUCCUAUAGCCUGAAGACAGGAGGGAAAGGAGGCAGAUGGGAAGGGAAGGAAUUUAGAAGGGUAAAGUGUGAUCGACAGGUAUGGAUGUACAAAGGGUGAUCAAAUAUAUGGUGAGUGUUUAAAUUUAAAAUGUUUAUUAUAGUAAAAGACACAUUGCUAUUCAUUCACCUCAUAAUACUCUCCCCAACUUUGAGCACACUUAUCUCAUCCUUCUUGCCACUUUCUGAAGCAGUUCUGGAAGUCACCUUUCCUAUCUUAUUACCUUUCUCAUUGCUUGGAUAAACUAUGCAACAGCCCCAAGUUAAAGCAGGAGAGGUUUAUUGUGGCUCACAGUUUGUAGAGGUUUCACUACAUCGCCGGUUGGCUCCAAGGGACUGUGGCAUAGCAGAGGAGAAAAAAUUCAUGGCCUGGCAGGCAGUAAGCAGAGAGGGAUCAAGGGAGGAGGACAGAAAUGUACCUUUCCAGGCCACGCCCACUGUGACCCACUUCUUCCACCAGGCUUCACCUCCCAACAUCACAGCCAGGUGUAAACUCAUCAGUAAAUUAAUCCAGUAUCACACACCACGAUCCAGUCAUCUCCCAAAACCCCCAACUAUGAGUGCAUGAGGCUUUGGCCGGGGGGAAUCUAAAUAUAAACCAUGCCAAGGAUCUUUAGGAAGUGUGAUCACAAAUACAGUGAAUGCUGGGCCAAGUGUCAUCCAGGAGAAAAGUAGGCAUGUAAAAACAUUACGGUGUGUUCUCAUCCACCUUAUUUACUAGAUCUGGCACCAUGUGACUUCUGGCUCUUCUCUAAAGUCAAAAUGGUCAUGAAAGGUAAACAUUUUGAAUUGAUUCAGGACAUUGAGACAGUCAGAACAGCACAAAUAAUGACACAAAAGCAUUUCCAGAACUGCUUCAUAAAGUGGCAAGAACGAUGGGAUAGUGUGUUUGAAAUGAUGGGGAAUAUUUUGAAGGAGGUUAAUGGGACGUAUCUUUUACUGUAAUAAAUUUUUAAAAAUUUAAACAUUCAUCCAAUGUUUCAAUUAUACUUUGUAUAUGUUCAGAGAGGACAUCUCAGAUUACUGUUUUAAAGUCUUUAAUGUAUAAAAUAAAAACAAAACAAUUACAAGGUAAAUAUUUUGUUUUUCUUUUCAUAACCUCACUAACAGAUUAGGACAUUUUGAGAUACCUUUCUGGCUUUAAAAUUUUACAUUAUAAAGGUACUUUGGGAAGGGAAAGAAGCAUGACAGAAGCAGUAAAAGAGAUAGCAUCUUUAAGGCUCGCAUACUAACAUGAACCAUCUGUAAGCGAUAGAUGGAACUUGACCACACGUGGACAUGAAGUAAGUCAUGCGCAUCAAAGAACAUGAGGAAAACACAAAAAGUAGAAGACAGUGAAACAUUCCCAUUCCCACCUUACAGAGACAGUCUCUUGUACCACUUUGUUGUAUCGUAAUUUCCUUUGGCUCUUCUGUAAUAUGUCUACUACCUGCAAGGCAGUGAUUGCAUAUACAGAAUUAUA
rnacentral:lncRNA from 1 species